rnacentral:rRNA from 1 species
GACGAAUGCUGGCUGCGUGCUUAACACAUGCAAGUCGAACGGUGAAGGGGAGCUUGCUCCCCGGAUCAGUGGCGAACGGGUGAGUAACACGUGGGCAACCUGCCCCUCACUCUGGGAUAACUCCGGGAAACCGGGGCUAAUACCGGAUACGACCGGGAGCGACAUCGCUCCUGGUGGAAAGAACUUCGGUGAGGGAUGGGCCCGCGGCCUAUCAGCUAGUUGGUGGGGUAACGGCACACCAAGGCGACGACGGGUAGCCGGCCUGAGAGGGCGACCGGCCGCACUGGGACUGAGACACGGCCCAGACUCCUACGGGAGGGAGCAGUGGGGAAUAUUGCGCAAUGGGCGAAAGCCUGACGCAGCGACGCAGCGUGAGGGACGAAGGCCUUCGGGUUGUAAACCUCUUUCAGCGGGGACGAAGCGAAAGUGACGGUACCCGCAGAAGAAGCACCGGCUAACUACGUGCCAGCAGCCGCCGUAA